rnacentral:rRNA from 1 species
ACNNGGAUACAUGCAAGUCGAACGCACUCUCGUUAGAUUGAAGAAGCUUGCUUCUGAUUGAUAACAUUUGAGUGAGUGGCGGACGGGUGAGUAACACGUGGGUAACCUGCCCUAAAGUGGGGGAUAACAUUUGGAAACAGAUGCUAAUACCGCAUAAAACCUAGCACCGCAUGGUGCAAGGUUGAAAGAUGGUUUCGGCUAUCACUUUAGGAUGGACCCGCGGUGCAUUAGUUAGUUGGUGAGGUAAAGGCUCACCAAGACCGUGAUGCAUAGCCGACCUGAGAGGGUAAUCGGCCACACUGGGACUGAGACACGGCCCAGACUCCUACGGGAGGCAGCAGUAGGGAAUCUUCCACAAUGGACGAAAGUCUGAUGGAGCAACGCCGCGUGAGUGAAGAAGGUUUUCGGAUCGUAAAACUCUGUUGUUGGAGAAGAACGUAUUUGAUAGUAACUGAUCAGGUAGUGACGGUAUCCAACCAGAAAGCCACGGCUAACUACGUGCCAGCAGCCGCGGUAAUACGUAGGUGGCAAGCGUUGUCCGGAUUUAUU